rnacentral:rRNA from 1 species
GAUGAACGCUGGCGGCGUGCCUAACACAUGCAAGUCGAGCGGCAGCGAGGGGUGCUUGCUCCCUGUCGGCGAGCGGCGGACGGCUGAGUAACGCGUGGGAACGUUCCCCAAAGUGAGGAAUAACUGCCCGAAAGGGUAGCUAAUACCGCAUAUUAUCUUCGGAUCAAAGGAUUUAUCAGCUUUGGGAGCGGCUCGCGUCGGAUUAGGUAGUUGGUGAGGUAAUGGCACACCAAGCCGACGAUCCGUAGCUGGUCUGUGAGGAUGACCAGCCAGACUGGAACUGAGACACGGUCCAGACUCCUACGGGAGGCAGCAGUGCGGAAUCUUCCACCAUGGGCGAAAGCCUGAUGGAGCUACGCCGCGCGCAGGACGAAGGCCUUCGGGUUGUAAACUGCUUUUAUAAGUGAGGAAUAUGACGGUAACUUAUGAAUAAGGAUCGGCUAACUACGUG